AUGCUAUGGUGUGGGCAUUUUCUCAGUAGCUCUUUGUGCCUUUCCCAUGCAUCAGGAACUACAUCAUCCAUUUGUUUAAAAGUGUAAAUUUCAUUUAUGGAUUU